CCUACGGGUGGCAGCAGUGGGGAAUAUUGGGCAAUGGGCGCAAGCCUGACCCAGCAACGCCGCGUGAAGGAAGAAGGCUUUCGGGUUGUAAACUUCUUUUCUCAGGGACGAAGCAAGUGACGGUACUUGAGGAAUAAGCCACGGCUAACUACGUGCCAGCAGCCGCGGUAAUACGUAGGUGGCAAGCGUGAUUCGGAUUUACUGGGUGUAAAGGGCGUGUAGGCGGGGACGCAAGUCAGAUGUGAAAACCACGGGCUAAACCUGUGGCCUGCAUUUGAAACUGUGUGUCUUGAGUACUGGAGAGGCAGACGGAAUUCCUGGUGUAGCGGUGAAAUGCGUAGAUAUUGGGAGGAACACCAGUGGCGAAGGCGGUCUGCUGGACAGCAACUGACGCUGAGGCACGAAAGCGUGGGGAGCGAACAGGAUUAGAUACCCCUGUAGUC
rnacentral:rRNA from 1 species